rnacentral:rRNA from 1 species
CACGUAGGCGGAUUCUUAAGUCAGGGGUGAAAUCCCGAGGCUCAACCUCGGAACUGCCUUUGAUACUGGGGAUCUCGAGUCCGGGAGAGGUGAGUGGAAUUGCGAGUGUAGAGGUGAAAUUCGUAGAUAUUCGCAAGAACACCAGUGGCGAAGGCGGCUCACUGGCCCGGUACUGACGCUGAGGUGCGAAAGCGUGGGGAGCAAACA